rnacentral:lncRNA from 1 species
CUGUGUCUAUAAUCUAAUUAGGAAAAGCAUUACCAAUAAAUGUAUGAAAACAAAUAAAUAAAUCAAGAGACAAAAUACAGAAAGGUACCUUCUUCGGUUCAGAAUAAUCAUGAGUGAAGUGACCCUUGUUGCCACAGUUGUAGCACUUCAUAUGCGCUACAUUUUUCUCUUUAUGGCCUUUAGCCUUAUGUUGUUUGGCCACACCACCCU